rnacentral:rRNA from 1 species
AGUGAACGCUGGCGGUAGGCCUAACACAUGCAAGUCGAACGGCAGCACAGAGGAGCUUGCUCCUUGGGUGGCGAGUGGCGGACGGGUGAGGAAUACAUCGGAAUCUACUCCGUCGUGGGGGAUAACGUAGGGAAACUUACGCUAAUACCGCAUACGACCUACGGGUGAAAGCAGGGGAUCUUCGGACCUUGCGCGAUUGAAUGAGCCGAUGUCGGAUUAGCUAGUUGGCGGGGUAAAGGCCCACCAAGGCGACGAUCCGUAGCUGGUCUGAGAGGAUGAUCAGCCACACUGGAACUGAGACACGGUCCAGACUCCUACGGGAGGCAGCAGUGGGGAAUAUUGGACAAUGGGCGCGAGCCUGAUCCAGCCAUACCGCGUGGGUGAAGAAGGCCUUCGGGUUGUAAAGCCCUUUUGUUGGGAAAGAAAUCCAUCUGGUUAAUACCCGGGUGGGAUGACGGUACCCAAAGAAUAAGCACCGGCUAACUUCGUGCCAGCAGCCGCGGUAA